GUAAUAUUCUACUUUCUGUAUCUAUGAAUUUGCCUAUUUUAAAUGCCUCAUAUAAGUGGAACUAUUUGUCCUUUUGCAUCUGGCUUAUUUCACUUAUCAUGUUUCCAGUGUUCCUCCAUGUUGUAACUGAGUAACUGUCAUUUUUUUGACUGACGACUGGCAAUCACUUUCUAACAGGCAAGAGAGAAUUGAUGGUUUCUUUCCCAGUGAAUCACUUGCCGAAUGGAUUGAUCCUGAGUUAUAGCUGAACAGAAUGAAAUGUGACCACUGAGAUGCAAUUCUUCCUGUAACAUAAACACAGAUAAUUCAGACUAAAUACCUUGGUGUAGGAGGCCACAAUGAAGAGGAAUAAACACCAGACCAGGAAUGAAGAGACUGGAUUCUGACACUAUGCUAUGCGUAUGUCCUUAGUUAACUCUUGCUGAUUCUUCUGAUCUCAGCUGAAUCGUCUCUGUGGCAGAGAGACUUCCUUGACAUUUAUGAUCAGAUUAUAUCAAAAGGAAACUCAGAGACUGAUAUGAAUAUUAAUAGAAGUAUUUUUACCUGUGGUGCUUGCAAGAGAAUCCAACCUUUGGAAGAACUGGACUUCAUAUAUAAAUAAUUUGGUUGUUUAUUCAUUCAUUCAUUUACUCUACAUCUGAUUACUAUGGAUCAGCCUUUAAGGAAAACUCAGGUAGAUGCAUGGCAGUAUUAGAAGUGAGGUGAAGAGUUGGUACACAAAGCAGAAGAAGAUGCAUGGCUGGCAUUGUGAAUGAACCUGAUAUGACUGAAGAUGUCUAUGGGCAAGAGGGCCAAGAUUGCAGAAAAUGGAGCAGAAGAUGGGCUGUAGAGCAGCAAGGAAGACACAUGAGACAGAGACACGGACUGAUAUACUAAGGUACACCUUCUAAGGAGAGAGAGUCCUUUGCUGCUUGGCACCUACAGGAUCUGAGCUUUUAUUGAAUAGCUCUGAAAGGAAAAGUCUUAUCAAAGAAGACAAAACUCUUUUCCCCUUUUGAAUUCAAUGAUUCAAUGGUCCAAAGGCAGAGCAAAGGAGAAUUUUUAAGGUAUUUUAAAGAGAAUAAUAGAGAGAAGGAUGAGAGAGAUUUGAAGAGCUGCUAUGAAGACUGUGCAAAUGGAUGUAUAGAUGAGAUUUUUACAAUAUUUUGAUGUCUGUAAUAACACAGGCUUCCUUAUUUUGCCUCUUUAAGAGGCUCCAGUAAAUACUGUUUCUUUGAAUGACACUGAGCAUGAAAUGGCUUUUAUUGGAUUAAAUGCAUUUUACCAGCUUUUAGCUUUUCCAGUGGCCAUCCCUGUUAUGAUAUUGAAGUAUAGUUGUGGUUUUCUUCCAUAGGACGGAAUAAAGUUCAUAUGUAAAAAUAGAA
rnacentral:lncRNA from 1 species